rnacentral:ribozyme from 1 species
GCUGCUAGAAAUUUUGCACACCUUUUCGUGGUGAGCAGCAGGCAACGGUCUUAUGAUCGGCGAAGAUGUGAGA